ensembl:misc_RNA Metazoa_SRP Metazoan signal recognition particle RNA
GCCGGGCGUGGGGGCGCGCACCUGUAAUCCCAGCUACUCAGGAGGCUGAGGCAGGAGAAUCGCUUGAACCCAGGAGGCGUAGGUUGCAGUGAGCCGAGAUCACGCCACUGCACUCCAGCCUGGGCGACAGAGCAAGACUCUGUCUCAA